GUGUCAGCAGCCGCGGUAAUACGUAGGGUGCGAGCGUUGUCCGGAAUUAUUGGGCGUAAAGGGCUCGUAGGCGGUUUGUCGCGUCGGGAGUGAAAUCAUCUGGCUUAACUGGGUGCUUGCUUUCGAUACGGGCAGACUAGAGGUAUGCAGGGGAGAACGGAAUUCCUGGUGUAGCGGUGAAAUGCGCAGAUAUCAGGAGGAACACCGGUGGCGAAGGCGGUUCUCUGGGCAUGAUCUGACGCUGAGGAGCGAAAGUGUGGGGAGCGAACAGGAUUAGAAACCCCCGUAGUCC
rnacentral:rRNA from 1 species